ACCCGCUGAACUUAAGCAUAUCAAUAAGCGGAGGAAAAGAAACCAACAGGGAUUGCCCUAGUAACGGCGAGUGAAGCGGCAACAGCUCAAAUUUGAAAUCUGGCUCUUUUAGAGUCCGAGUUGUAAUUUGCAGAGGGCGCUUUGGCUUUGGCAGCGGUCCAAGUUCCUUGGAACAGGACGUCACAGAGGGUGAGAAUCCCGUACGUGGUCGCUGGCUAUUGCCGUGUAAAGCCCCUUCGACGAGUCGAGUUGUUUGGGAAUGCAGCUCUAAAUGGGAGGUACAUUUCUUCUAAAGCUAAAUAUUGGCCAGAGACCGAUAGCGCACAAGUAGAGUGAUCGAAAGAUGAAAAGCACUUUGGAAAGAGAGUCAAACAGCACGUGAAAUUGUUGAAAGGGAAGCGCUUGCAGCCAGACUUGCUUACAGUUGCUCAUCCGGGCUUUUGCCCGGUGCACUCUUCUGUAGGCAGGCCAGCAUCAGUUUGGGCGGUAGGAUAAAGGUCUCUGUCACGUACCUCUCUUCGGGGAGGCCUUAUAGGGGAGACGACAUACUACCAGCCUGGACUGAGGUCCGCGCAUCUGCUAGGAUGCUGGCGUAAUGGCUGU
rnacentral:rRNA from 1 species